rnacentral:lncRNA from 1 species
UUGUAACUUUUAAUAAAAGAAUUCAUUAAAAAUUAAAUAAUUACUUUUUUAAAUUUUCACUACAAAAAUAAUAAUCGAAGUGAGAAACUUUAUACAAGUAUUUCCAUCGUUGAAAUGUUAUCAAUACAAGUGAGCUAAGUUACAUGCAAGAUAUUAUUACGCCAUACGUAACGACUUCCCUUGGGCGUUAUGGCAUUUAUGAUUACUCAUUGACAAUAAGUAACAAAAGCCAAAUCAUGUCCUGUCGCAAGCUCCCAGAUAUUCUCACCGGCAUUAUGUUGAAAAAAUCAAAGGGUAAAAGUUUAUUUGGUCUCUAUAUUUUGAUAUUAGUGCCUGUUUAAUCUCUAUAUUUUUUAAAAUAGCUUAAAACAUUUAUGUUGUUAAAAUAUGAAUACCCUUGUGUUACUUUUUGUUCCUUUUGACUUGCUUUUAUAAUAUUACCCUCUUAUAAUUAUUUUUUGGGCAUU